CUAUCCAGUAGAGUCGUGGAAUUCUUGAGGGGGUCUGACCUCAGUACGAGAGGACCAGGUUGGAGAUACCUCUGGUGUGUCGGUUGUCGCGUCAGCGGCACCGCCGAGUAGCUAUGUAUCUAUGGGAUAACCGCUGAAAGCAUCUAAGUGGGAAACCCUACCCAAGAUUAGGAAUUCAGUCCUGCGCAAGCGGGACGAAGAUCCGGAGUAGACCACUCCGUACAAGAGGCUGGCAGUGUAAGCACCGCAAGGUGUUUAGCUUACCAGUACUAAUAGAUCUAUCGAAGUUUCUUU
rfam:Candidatus Amesbacteria bacterium RIFOXYB1_FTLL_44_23 rifoxyb1_full_scaffold_3287, whole genome shotgun sequence.